rnacentral:rRNA from 1 species
UACGUAGGUGACAAGCGUUGUCCGGAUUUACUGGGCGUAAAGAGCGCGCAGGCGGUCGAUCAAGUCGAGUGUGAAAGCCCCCGGCUCAACUGGGGAGGGUCAUUCGAUACUGAUCGACUCGAAGGCAGGAGAGGGUAGUGGAAUUCCCGGUGUAGUGGUGAAAUGCGUAGAUAUCGGGAGGAACACCAGUGGCGAAGGCGGGUCUCUGGGCCAUUACUGACGCUGAGGAGCUAAAGCGUGGGGAGCGAACAGG